rnacentral:RNase_P_RNA from 1 species
GGUUUCGGGUAAUCACGGCUAGCAAUAGCUAGCUGAGGAAAGUCCAUGCUCGCACAAGCUGCGAUGCUUGUAGUGUUCGUGCUUAGCGAAAAAAUAAGCUAAGGCAUUAAGUUGACGGCGCUGGUCCCCACUAAGGUUUCGGCUAGGUGGGCAAACAGCCUAAGGUGCCACAGAGACGAUCUAGCAAAGAAAUGCGCUAGUUGGAACGGGUAAACCCCUCGAGCGAGCAACCCAAACAUUGGUCGGGGCACUGCCCAAAGGGAAAUGAACUGACGGGCGGACCAUUAGGUAGAUAGAUGAUUACCAAAAUUGCUCCUAGCAAGAGUAAUGGAACAGAACAUGGCUUAUAGAA